GGGUGUGAGGUCCAUCUGGUGGAGACAUAUACCACUCCACAGAUCACCAGACUUGAUCUGGCUGUCUGGGCAGGUGUCCCCUCUCACCCUCACCUCGCCGUAUGAUCUGUCAAGAGGUUGGCUGUCCUUGACAGAGGAGCACUAGUCUUUCUCAAGGGCAGAUGAGAAGCUGUACUUGUUUUGCUGGAAUCUCCAAAUUAGCCUCCAAGGUUAAUUUGUAGCAGGAUGGAGGGAAGUCAGGCUUGAAAGACUCCAGACACACCAGGUGAGGAGCUGCAUGCGACUGCUUUUCUUAUU
rnacentral:snRNA from 1 species